rnacentral:tRNA from 2 species
GGCCGGUUAGCUCAGCUGGUUAGAGCGUGGUGCUAAUAACGCCAAGGUCGCGGGUUCGAGCCCCGCACGGGCCA